rnacentral:rRNA from 1 species
UACGUAGGGUGCGAGCGUUGUCCGGAAUUAUUGGGCGUAAAGAGCUCGUAGGCGGUUUGUCGCGUCGGCCGUGAAAUCUCCACGCUUAACGUGGAGCGUGCGGUCGAUACGGGCAGACUUGAGUUCGGUAGGGGAGACUGGAAUUCCUGGUGUAGCGGUGAAAUGCGCAGAUAUCAGGAGGAACACCGGUGGCGAAGGCGGAUCUCUGGGCCUUACCUGACGCUGAGGCGCGAAAGCUAGGGGAGCAAACAGG